UACGGUAGGGGGCAAGCGUUGUCCGGAAUCAUUGGGCGUAAAGAGCGUGUAGGCGGUCCGGUCAGUCGGUUGUGAAAGUCAAGGGCUCAACCCUUGAAUGCCGGCCGAAACUGCAGAGCUUGAGUGCCGGAGAGGGUGGCGGAAUUCCCCAAGUAGAGGUGAAAUUCGUAGAUAUGGGGAGGAACACCGGUGGCGAAGGCGGCCACCUGGACGGUAACUGACGCUGAGACGCGAAAGCGUGGGGAGCAAACAGG
rnacentral:rRNA from 1 species